UUGAAAUGAAAUGAUGACCCAAUGGAUGAAUUUUUGUGUCCUCCAGCACAAUCGGCUUAAAGACUGACAUUUACAUCUUCAUCCCAGAGGAGAUGGCUGCUUUUAAAGUUUGGGCAAAAUCACAGCAUCAUUAAAAGCAGUGACAAAGAG
rnacentral:lncRNA from 12 species